GAUGAACGCUGGCGGCGUGCUUAACACAUGCAAGUCGAACGAACCUUCGGGUUAGUGGCGGACGGGUGAGUAACGCGUGAGAAUCUGCCCUCAGGAGUGGGAUAACGGCUGGAAACGGCCGCUAAUACCCCAUAUGCCGAGAGGUGAAAUGAAUUUCGCCUGAGGAUGAGCUCGCGUCUGAUUAGCUAGUUGGUGGGUAAAGGCCUACCAAGGCGUCGAUCAGUAGCUGGUCUGAGAGGAUGAUCAGCCACACUGGGACUGAGACACGGCCCAGACUCCUACGGGAGGCAGCAGUGGGGAAUUUUCCGCAAUGGGCGAAAGCCUGACGGAGCAACGCCGCGUGAGGGAUGAAGGCCUCUGGGCUGUAAACCUCUUUUCUCAAGGAAGAAGAUCUGACGGUACUUGAGGAAUAAGCCACGGCUAAUUCCGUG
rnacentral:rRNA from 1 species